UUACGGCCAUAUUACGUUGAAACACCGAUACUCGAACGAUCACCGGAGUUAAGCAACUUCAAGCCUGGUCAGUACCUAGAUGGGUGACCUCUUGGGAAUACCAAGUGCUGGAG